AGUGAACGCUGGCGGUAGGCCUAACACAUGCAAGUCGAACGAGUGGCGGACGGGUGAGGAAUACAUCGGAAUCUACUCUGUCGUGGGGGAUAACGUAGGGACAAUUACGCUAAUACCGCAUACGAUUGAAUGCGCCGAUGUCGGAUUAGCUAGGUGGCGGGGGAAGGGCCCACCAAGGCGACGAUCCGUAGCUGGUCUGAGAGGAUGAUCAGCCACACGUGAACUGAGACACGGUCCAGACUCCUACGGGAGGCAGCAGGGGGGAGUAGUGGACAAUGGGAGGAGGCCUGAUCCAGCCAGACCGCGUGGGGGAAGAAGGCCUUCGGGUUGUAGAGUACUUUCAGCGGGGAGGCGUUACUCGCAGAAGAAGCACCGGCUAACUCCGUGCCAGCAGCCGCGGUAAUUC
rnacentral:rRNA from 1 species